AUUAGGUACACUUAAAUAUGAUAUUGUUUUUGUUCCCUCAGAGACCUCAGAACAAACAAACCAUGCCAACAUCUUGAUUUUGGACUUCUAAAUCUCCCAAAUGAGAUAUGCAACAAUAUGUGAAGAUCCAGCCAAGUCAUUGGAAACUUCUUCCAACUCAGCAAGGUGCUCUAUCAACUGAAAAUCAAAAGCUUAACUGUCUCAUGAAAGUUAACAUAAGGUUAUAAAUGAGAUAGAAGGUCAGUUGAGCUUUAUGGAGGUUACCUGAAAUGUGAUAGUGCAACAGAGUGCAGAAGCAGGUAAGAUAAGCCAGCUCUCUUCUAUUAAAUUAGGAUCAAAGAAAUUUGCAAAAAUAUUAGACUACACCAUUCCCAUUGUUUUUUGUUGUUUCAGAAAAUAAAGUUAGGAUUUUAUUUAAAAAUAUAUCAACGUGUAAUGGGUUUAUUAU